rnacentral:rRNA from 1 species
AGUGAACGCUGGCGGUAGGCCUAACACAUGCAAGUCGAACGGCAGCACAGAGGAGCUUGCUCCUUGGGUGGCGAGUGGCGGACGGGUGAGGAAUACAUCGGAAUCUACUCUGUCGUGGGGGAUAACGUAGGGAAACUUACGCUAAUACCGCAUACGACCUACGGGUGAAAGCAGGGGACCUUCGGGCCUUGCGCGAUUGAAUGAGCCGAUGUCGGAUUAGCUAGUUGGCGGGGUAAAGGCCCACCAAGGCGACGAUCCGUAGCUAGUCUGAGAGGAUGGCCAGCCACCCUGGAACUGAGACACGGUCCAGACUCCUACGGGAGGCAGCAGUGGGGAAUAUUGGACAAUGGGCGCAAGCCUGAUCCAGCCAUACCGCGUGGGUGAAGAAGGCCCUCGGGUUGUAAAGCCCUUUUGUUGGGAAAGAAAUCCAGCUGGCUAAUACCCGGUUGGGAUGACGGUACCCAAAGAAUAAGCACCGGCUAACUUCGUGCCAGCAGCCGCCGUAA